GAUGAACGCUGGCGGCGUGCCUAAUACAUGCAAGUCGAGCGAACAGACGAGGAGCUUGCUCCUCUGACGUUAGCGGCGGACGGGUGAGUAACACGUGGAUAACCUACCUAUAAGACUGGGAUAACUUCGGGAAACCGGAGCUAAUACCGGAUAAUAUAUUGAACCGCAUGGUUCAAUAGUGAAAGACGGUUUUGCUGUCACUUAUAGAUGGAUCCGCGCCGCAUUAGCUAGUUGGUAAGGUAACGGCUUACCAAGGCAACGAUGCGUAGCCGACCUGAGAGGGUGAUCGGCCACAAUGGAAAUGAGACACGGUCCAGACUCCUACGGGAGGAAGCAGUAGGGAAUCUUCCGCAAUGGGCGAAAGCUUGACGGAGCAACGCCGCGUGAGUGAUGAAGGUCUUCGGAUCGUAAAACUCUGUUAUUAGGGAAGAACAAAUGUGUAAGUAACUAUGCACGUCUUGACGGUACCUAAUCAGAAAGACAAGGCUAACUACGUG
rnacentral:rRNA from 1 species